AUUGAACGCUGGCGGCAUGCUUUACACAUGCAAGUCGAACGGCAGCGCGGGCUUCGGCCUGGCGGCGAGUGGCGAACGGGUGAGUAAUGCAUCGGAACGUGCCCAGUAGUGGGGGAUAGCCCGGCGAAAGCCGGAUUAAUACCGCAUACGACCUGAGGGUGAAAGCGGGGGACCGAAAGGCCUCGCGCUAUUGGAGCGGCCGAUGUCGGAUUAGCUAGUUGGUGGGGUAAAGGCUUACCAAGGCGACGAUCCGUAGCUGGUCUGAGAGGAGGACCAGCCACACUGGGACUGGGACACGGCCCAGACUCCUACGGGAGGCAGCAGUGGGGAAUUUUGGACAAUGGGGGCAACCCUGAUCCAGCCAUGCCGCGUGCGGGAAGAAGGCCUUCGGGUUGUAAACCGCUUUUGUUCGGGAAGAAAUCCUCUGGGCUAAUACCCCGGGGGGAUGACGGUACCGGAAGAAUAAGCACCGGCUAACUACGUG
rnacentral:rRNA from 1 species